rnacentral:misc_RNA from 1 species
GAUCCCAAGCCUUCUGGCGAUCUCUUAUAAAGAAAGCCCUCCAUAAUAGAUUGAAAAGGGUCCUUUGGGGAAAAGUUUUCCCUUUGAUAAGAUGAAGCCGGGGAAGGUUUUCCGGUUUAUCCCGGAGGGCUUGUAGCUCAGUUGGUUAGAGCGCGCGCUUGAUAAGCGUGAGGUCGGAGGUUCAAGUCCUCCCAGGCCCACCAAUCAUUCUAUCAAUCUAUAAGCGCUUGUGGAAAUUGCUCAUAGAAAACUUUCUUUAUUCAUUUAUGAAAAAUCUCCUUAUAGAGAUAGAGAGAGACGCUUUUCCCUUUGGGUUUGAAAACUCAAGAUUACAGGUGUUAAAGUGGCUUUAAAGGAAAAGUGACAAAGAAUAAGGAAUAACGAUUUAAGUUAUCCCUUUUUGGUGAUCUUGAUUUGGGUGUUUUGAAUGCGUUAUGUUUUUUAGGGGGGCCGUAGCUCAGCUGGGAGAGCACCUGCUUUGCAAGCAGG